CAGCAGCCACGGUAAUACGUAGGGUGCAAGCGUUAAUCGGAAUUACUGGGCGUAAAGCGUGCGUAGGCGGUUUGUUAAGUCUGUUGUGAAAUCCCCGGGCUCAACCUGGGAAUGGCAAUGGAUACUGGCAAGCUAGAGUGUGUCAGAGGAUGGUGGAAUUCCCGGUGUAGCGGUGAAAUGCGUAGAGAUCGGGAGGAACAUCAGUGGCGAAGGCGGCCAUCUGGGACAACACUGACGCUGAGGCACGAAAGCGUGGGGAGCAAACAGGAUUAGAUACCCGGGUAGUCCCUGUCUCUUAUAC
rnacentral:rRNA from 1 species